rnacentral:rRNA from 1 species
CCUACGGGAGGCAGCAGUAGGGAAUCUUCCACAAUGGACGAAAGUCUGAUGGAGCAACGCCGCGUGAGUGAAGAAGGGUUUCGGCUCGUAAAGCUCUGUUGGUAGUGAAGAAAGAUAGAGGUAGUAACUGGCCUUUAGUUGACGGUAAGGACGGAGAAAGGCACGGCUAACUACGUGCCAGCAGCCGCGGUAAAACGUAGGUGGCAAGCGUUGUCCGGAUUGAUUGGGCGGAAAGCGAGUGCAGGCGGUUCCAUAAGUCUGAUGUGAAAGCCUUCGGCUCAACCGGAGAAUUGCAUCCGAAACUUUUGACCUUGAGUGCAGCAGAGGCGAGUGGCACUCCAUGUGUAGCGGUGUAAUGCUUAGAUAUAUG